GACGAACGCCGGCGGCGUGCUUAACACAUGCAAGUCGAACGGAAAGGCCCUGCUUUUGUGGGGUGCUCGAGUGGCGAACGGGUGAGUAACACGUGAAUAACCUGCCCUUGACUUUGGGAUAACUUCAGGAAACUGGGGCUAAUACCGGAUAGGAGCUCCUGCUGCAUGGUGGGGGUUGGAAAGUUUCGGCGGUUGGGGAUGGACUCGCGGCUUAUCAGCUUGUUGGUGGGGUAGUGGCUUACCAAGGCUUUGACGGGUAGCCGGCCUGAGAGGGUGACCGGCCACAUUGGGACUGAGAUACGGCCCAGACUCCUACGGGAGGCAGCAGUGGGGAAUAUUGCACAAUGGGCGGAAGCCUGAUGAAGCAACGCCGCGUGCGGGAUGACGGCCUUCGGGUUGUAAACCGCUUUCGCCUGUGACGAAGCGUGAGUGACGGUAAUGGGUAAAGAAGCACCGGCUAACUACGUG
rnacentral:rRNA from 1 species